GCUGUGCGCCGGCGGUCUUCGGUCCUCAGCCAGCUUCAUGACAUCCGGGUGGUGAAAGCGUUCCGUAGCUCGCUCUAUGAAGGCCUGGAGAAACCAGAAUCCAAGACCUCCAUUCACAACUUCAUGGCCACGCCCGAGUUUCUGAUCAAUGACUACACCCACAACAUCCCGCUCAUCGAUGACACGGACGUGGACGAGAACGAGGAGCACCUCCGGGCCCCCCCGCCACCGUCCCCCAACCAGAACAACAACGCCAUAGACAGCGGCAUCUACCUGACCACGCAUGUCACCAAGUCAGCUACCUCUUCAGUGUUUUCCUCCAGUCCCGGGAGCCCGCUCCACAGCGUGGAGACGUCCCUCUAACAAGAACUUGUCUCAGCACAUGCGCACACGCACACUCGGACUCACACGAAGCCACACGCACACAUGCACGCACACACACAUAUGGGGACCUGCACACCUGCAAGACGAGGGAACAACUAAGGUGGCUGAAGACCUUUCUGGCAGGGCAUUUGCAAGGACCCAAAUCCAUUCAACAAGGGUGCAGCCUGCCACAGGCUCCUCAUCCGGACCGAGGAAGACGAGGACAGGGAGGAGGAAAAGGAGGAAGAGGAGGACAAGAAGUGGGAGGAGA
rnacentral:sRNA from 1 species